rnacentral:rRNA from 1 species
AGCAGCCGCGGUAAUUCCAGCUCCAAUAGCGUAUAUUAAAGUUGUUGCAGUUAAAAAGCUCGUAGUUGAAUUUCGGGAUUAGUGCGCCGGUCGUGCCUUCGGUAUGUACUGGUGUUACUGGUUCCUACCUUCUGACGAACCGUCAUGUCAUUAAUUUGGUGUGGCGGGGAAUCAGGACUGUUACUUUGAAAAAAUUAGAGUGUUUAAAGCAGGCUCGCGCUUGAAUACAUUAGCAUGGAAUAAUGAAAUAGGACGAUCGGUCCUGUUUUGUUGGUUUCUGAAUCACCGUAAUGAUUAAUAGGGAUAGUUGGGGGCAUUAGUAUUCAAUUGUCAGAGGUGAAAUUCUUGGAUUUAU